AGCGUACACGGUGGAUGCCCUGGCAGUCAGAGGCGAUGAAGGACGUGCUAAUCUGCGAAAAGCGCCGGCGAGGUGAUAUGAACCCUUGACCCGGCGAUGUCCGAAUGGGGAAACCCAGUGUGAUUCGUCACACUAUCGUUAACUGAAUACAUAGGUUAACGAGGCGAACCGGGGGAACUGAAACAUCUAAGUACCCCGAGGAAAAGAAAUCAACCGAGAUUCCCCCAGUAGCGGCGAGCGAACGGGGAGCAGCCCGGAGUCUGAAUCAGCUUGUGUGUUAGUGGAACGGUCUGGAAAGUCCGACGGUACAGGGUGAUAGUCCCGUACACGAAAGCACACUUGCUGUGAACUCGAAGAGUAGGGCGGGACACGUGGUAUCCUGUCUGAAUAUGGGGGGACCAUCCUCCAAGGCUAAAUACUCCUGACUGACCGAUAGUGAACCAGUACCGUGAGGGAAAGGCGAAAAGAACCCCGGCGAGGGGAGUGAAAAAGAACCUGAAACCGUGUACGUACAAGCAGUGGGAGCACCUUCGUGGUGUGACUGCGUACCUUUUGUAUAAUGGGUCAGCGACUUAUAUUCUGUAGCAAGGUUAACCGUAUAGGGGAGCCGAAGGGAAACCGAGUCUUAACUGGGCGUUAAGUUGCAGGGUAUAGACCCGAAACCCGGUGAUCUAGCCAUGGGCAGGUUGAAGGUUGGGUAACACUAACUGGAGGACCGAACCGACUAAUGUUGAAAAAUUAGCGGAUGACCUGUGGCUGGGGGUGAAAGGCCAAUCAAACCGGGAGAUAGCUGGUUCUCCCCGAAAGCUAUUUAGGUAGCGCCUCGUGAACUCAUCUUCGGGGGUAGAGCACUGUUUCGGCUAGGGGGCCAUCCCGGCUUACCAACCCGAUGCAAACUACGAAUACCGAAGAAUGUUAUCACGGGAGACACACGGCGGGUGCUAACGUCCGUCGUGAAGAGGGAAACAACCCAGACCGCCAGCUAAGGUCCCAAAGUCAUGGUUAAGUGGGAAACGAUGUGGGAAGGCACAGACAGCCAGGAUGUUGGCUUAGAAGCAGCCAUCAUUUAAAGAAAGCGUAAUAGCUCACUGGUCGAGUCGGCCUGCGCGGAAGAUGUAACGGGGCUAAACCAUGCACCGAAGCUGCGGCAGCGACACUAUGUGUUGUUGGGUAGGGGAGCGUUCUGUAAGCCGUUGAAGGUGUGCUGUGAGGCAUGCUGGAGGUAUCAGAAGUGCGAAUGCUGACAUAAGUAACGAUAAAGCGGGUGAAAAGCCCGCUCGCCGGAAGACCAAGGGUUCCUGUCCAACGUUAAUCGGGGCAGGGUGAGUCGACCCCUAAGGCGAGGCCGAAAGGCGUAGUCGAUGGGAAACAGGUUAAUAUUCCUGUACUUGGUGUUACUGCGAAGGGGGGACGGAGAAGGCUAUGUCAGCCGGGCGACGGUUGUCCCGGUUUAAGCAUGUAGGCGGAGGUUCCAGGUAAAUCCGGUACCUUAUUAACGCUGAGGUGUGAUGACGAGGCACUACGGUGCUGAAGUGAUAAAUGCCCUGCUUCCAGGAAAAGCCUCUAAGCAUCAGGUAACACGAAAUCGUACCCCAAACCGACACAGGUGGUCAGGUAGAGAAUACCAAGGCGCUUGAGAGAACUCGGGUGAAGGAACUAGGCAAAAUGGUGCCGUAACUUCGGGAGAAGGCACGCUGAUGUGUAGGUGAAGUCCCUGCGGACGGAGCUGAAAUCAGUCGAAGAUACCAGCUGGCUGCAACUGUUUAUUAAAAACACAGCACUGUGCAAACACGAAAGUGGACGUAUACGGUGUGACGCCUGCCCGGUGCCGGAAGGUUAAUUGAUGGGGUUAGCUGUAAGGCGAAGCUCUUGAUCGAAGCCCCGGUAAACGGCGGCCGUAACUAUAACGGUCCUAAGGUAGCGAAAUUCCUUGUCGGGUAAGUUCCGACCUGCACGAAUGGCGUAAUGAUGGCCAGGCUGUCUCCACCCGAGACUCAGUGAAAUUGAACUCGCUGUGAAGAUGCAGUGUACCCGCGGCAAGACGGAAAGACCCCGUGAACCUUUACUAUAGCUUGACACUGAACACUGGUCCUUGAUGUGUAGGAUAGGUGGGAGGCUUUGAAGCGUGGACGCCAGUCUGCGUGGAGCCGCCCUUGAAAUACCACCCUUUAAUGGCUGGUGUUCUAACGUAGACCCGUAAUCCGGGUUGCGGACAGUGUCUGGUGGGUAGUUUGACUGGGGCGGUCUCCUCCCAAAGAGUAACGGAGGAGCACGAAGGUUGGCUAAUCCUGGUCGGACAUCAGGAGGUUAGUGCAAUGGCAUAAGCCAGCUUGACUGCGAGCGUGACGGCGCGAGCAGGUGCGAAAGCAGGUCAUAGUGAUCCGGUGGUUCUGAAUGGAAGGGCCAUCGCUCAACGGAUAAAAGGUACUCCGGGGAUAACAGGCUGAUACCGCCCAAGAGUUCAUAUCGACGGCGGUGUUUGGCACCUCGAUGUCGGCUCAUCACAUCCUGGGGCUGAAGUAGGUCCCAAGGGUAUGGCUGUUCGCCAUUUAAAGUGGUACGCGAGCUGGGUUUAGAACGUCGUGAGACAGUUCGGUCCCUAUCUGCCGUGGGCGCUGGAGAAUUGAGGGGGGCUGCUCCUAGUACGAGAGGACCGGAGUGGACGCAUCACUGGUGUUCGGGUUGUCAUGCCAAUGGCACUGCCCGGUAGCUAAAUGCGGAAGAGAUAAGUGCUGAAAGCAUCUAAGCACGAAACUUGCCCCGAGAUGAGUUCU
rnacentral:rRNA from 3 species